rnacentral:rRNA from 1 species
GGCGGACGGGUGAGUAACGCGUGAGUAACCUGCCUCUAAGAGGGGAAUAACAUUCUGAAAAGAAUGCUAAUACCGCAUAACAUAUAUUUAUCGCAUGGUAGAUAUAUCAAAGAUUUAUCGCUUAGAGAUGGACUCGCGUCCGAUUAGUUAGUUGGUGAGGUAACGGCUCACCAAGACCGCGAUCGGUAGCCGGACUGAGAGGUUGAACGGCCACAUUGGGACUGAGACACGGCCCAGACUCCUAUGGGAGGCAGCAGUGGGGGAUAUUGCGCAAUGGGGGAAACCCUGACGCAGCAACGCCGCGUGAAGGAUGAAGGUCUUCGGAUUG